GGCUUCCCUGAGGCUCAGUGGUAAAGACUCUGCCUGCCAAUGCAGGAGACACAGGUUUGCUCCCUGAUCUGGGAAGAACCCACACACUGUGGGGCAACUAAGCCUGUGCACCACAAUUACUGAGCUUACGUGCUGCAGCGACUGAAGCCCAAGCGCCCUAGAGCCCACGCUUCACAACAAGAGAAGCCACCACAAUGAGAAGCCCGCGACCACAGCUAGAGAGUAGCCCCUGCUCACUGCAACUAGAAAGAAGCCCGAGCAGCAGUGAAGAGCCAGCACAACCACAAAUAAAUACAUAAGAGUCUUGUUUCUUAGAGUCCCUUGGUUCAGGUGAUGAGCUCAUUAAAUUGGUGGCUUAGCAAUUUCAACUUGACUGUGUCCUUUAGUCAGAAAUCCUGGGGUUAUAGAGACUUUUCAAGGAACAGCCCAGAUCUCAUCUUCGAUCUUGAGUCAAAGCUGUCCUUUGAGGGAUUCUAAUCAUCCCUGGAUUCCUCUGAGGCACUAUUUGUCAAGUCGUUUUUCCCCUCCAAGCCUCUUUCAUUUAGGCAGCCACAUCUUCCCCACAGGCACCCAUUCCUCAUUUUCAAAUCUCCCUGCCUCUCUCGCCUCCAGCUGGUUCCUGAACUUUGGUCCAGCACUUCCAAAGGCACCUCCACCCUCCAGCAAGCCAUCCUGCCCUGUGUCCUGUUUCCCAGCUGAAGUUUGGCUUCUCCAUCCCUCACUCUUCUCCACCUCCAGCUCCUCUCAUGCUCUUCCCCAGGGUGCAGCAGGUUCUCACAACUAGGAUAACAUGGAGAACUUAACAAAGAGGAGGAGGAAGAAGAGAAAUUUUAAAACUCAAGCUGAGCCCAGCCCCAUCAGAAAGAACUGGUCCUGAGGCUCCAAGGACUAGACGUGCCUGUGACAUUUGCCCACUAGGCAUAGUGUGUAUGUGCAUGCUGAGUUGCUCCAGUCGUGUCUGACUCUUUUCGACCCUAUGCCCCAGGCUCCUCUGCCCUAUUCCCGACCCAGAGGUCAAACCCAUGUCUCUUUACAUCUCCAGCAUUGGCAGGCGGGUUCCUUACCACUAGCGCCACCUGGGAAGUUCCACUAGACUCAGUGGAACCACAGAAGCCCCAUCUGAGAGAAUCAGCCCAUCAGAAGGCACUCAGGUGAGCUGGGUCUUUCUGCCACUGAGACCACCCCAGGCCCUGAGGAUUUGCAUGACUUAAAGUCACACAGAAGCCCCAGUACCUGCACAGUAAGGCUCUUCCCUGAGGAGAAGCCUGGAAAAGAGUUGCAAAAGUGGGGUGGGGCGGGGAGAGGAGUAGCAAAGCUGUAGAAAGGAUCGGGGGACAGCAAAGGUGGGGGGACAGCAUCAGGUGGCCUCCGGAUGAGAGCGAUGGCAUGUGAGGUAUGGGUGGGGCCAGAUAAGAAGGUAUGAAGGAAAGAUUACAGAGGGGAUUGGGGGUUCUGUGGAACCUGUGGGGAAGGGGCUCCUCCUCUCUUCUCCAGGGUGAGCUUGAAAAGGAUAAGGAAUGGUGACUGAGAGCUCACUGGGUGCUACUUUACAUACCUUUAAUCCUAUAAGGGAGGUUGAGUAAUUUGCUCAAAAUUCCACAGUUAUUAAUUGAUGCAGCCAACUUUCAACCUCAGAUCUGACUUCUAGAUGCCUGGCUGUCUUCCGUGAGAUGAGCCUAAGGGCCUUCCCAGCUCCACACCUGUACAAGGGGUGCACUGAGAGAGGAGAGAAGGGGAGAAAAACGGCAGUGCGAGGAGAUGAGGGAAGAAGGGAGCAACCAAGAUAUGGAAAAAGAAGAGAACAGGAAGGGGAUAGGAAAGAUAAGAGACUAAAAAAGGAUGGGGAGUGAGGAGGAAAGGGGCAAGGUAAGGGGGAACAAUAGGAAAGGAAGAACCAGGAGAGGAAAAAAGAUGGAGCCGUAGUGGAACAGAAGGUUGAGCCAGAGGAAGGGGGAGAGGGAUUGGGGUAGGGUCUUGGAGGAGUCAGAAUCACCUGGAGUAUAAGCCUAGGAGCUGAAGGAAAAGGGCUGGAGUUUAGUAGGUGUUUGUGGUUUUUUUUUUUUUUUUUCCUUGCUGUGAAAGUAUGGAGUGUGGGGAUCAUUGCCUAUGGAGCUGUCAACAGACUAGUCAGCUCAGCCAAGUGUCUGUUGGAGGGAAACUGGAACUGAGGUCAGACUCCUCAUGGCCUCUAUUGUGGGUGUCUCAGAUCCUACAUUUGAUCUUAAAAUUGUAAACUCGGAAAAGCAGAUUUUUCUUUUUCUUUUUGGUUUUUGCUGAGGCCCUGGGCUUCAGUCCCUAAAAGGAAAGUUAUUGGAGGAGGAAGGCAUUCCAGAAAGGAAAGAGCAAUAGAAUAUAAGUAACAAAAGGGAAUGAAAGAGGGCUUCCCUGGUGGUCCAGUGGUUAAGCAUCUGCCUGCCAAUGCACAGGGCACAAGUUCGAUCCCUGAUCCAGGAAGAUCCCACAUGUCUUGGAGCAACUAAGCCAUGAGCCACAGCUACUGAAGCCCAACAGCCUAGAGCUUGUGCUCCACAGCAAGAGAAACCACCGCGAUGAGAAGCCUGCCCACCACAGUGAAGAGCAGCCCCAACUCACUGCAACUGGAGAAAGCCUGGGUGUAGCAACGAAGACCCAGCACAGCCAAAAAAUAAAUUAAAACAAAACAAAAAAAAGGAAUGAAAG
rnacentral:lncRNA from 1 species